CAGCCUUUAAAAAGAAGGGAAUUCUAAAAUAUACAAGUACAAUUAAAAUUUUUACCAAGAAAGGAUAAUCUCCCAUAUGCUAUAACAUACAUGAACUUAAAGACAUUAUGCUUAGUGAAAUAAAAGGACAAAUACUGCAUGAUUCCACUUCUAUGAGGUAUCCAAAGUAGUUAGUUUGCAACAUAUAGAGAUAGAAAGCAGAAUGGGUGUUGCCAGGGGCUGGGUGGAGAGGGAAAGGGGACUUUCCUGGAUACAACUCUGGAUACAGAGUUGCAGGUUUGCAAGAUGAUGAGAGUUCUGUUGAUAGGUUGUACAACCCUGUGAAUAGCUUUAGCAUACAGAACUGAAUGGGGAGUUCCUGUUGAAUGGAUACACAGUUUCAGUUUGGGAAGAUGGUGCAUAGUGGGGAUAGUUGUAGGAAACUUGAAUGUACUUACUGCCACAUCACUGUAUCUUUAACAUGGUUAAAAUGGUAGCUUUUAUGUUACAUGUAUUUUACCACAGUUAGAAAAAAAUUUUUUUUUUAAUUAUCAGGUAAGUUUCCUUCAAACUCAGGAACCUUUCUGUGGGGAAGCCGUCUUCCCCAAC